rnacentral:rRNA from 1 species
UGCGUACGGGUGAUAUAUGCAGAAUCUUUUCUUUCAGUUCAGGACAAAAAUUUCUUUCGAGGAAUAAAUACUGAAUACAUUUUAAAGGUUUAUCUGCUGAAAGAUAUAUCUGCUUAAGAUUAAGUUGUUGGUAAUUUAAAAGCUUACCAAGCCGAUGAUCUUUAGUUGGUCUGAGAGGAUGAUCAACCACACUAAAACUGAAAUAAAGUCCAGGCUAAUACGUUGGUUAGCAGUGAGGAAUAUUGGACAAUGAACGCAAGUUUGAUCCAGCAAUACUAACUGGGUGAUGACGGCUUAUUUAAGUUGUAAGAUCCUUUAAUUAAAGAAGAUAAUGACAUUAUUUAAUUGAAUUAGUCCUGGCUAAUACUCGUGCCAGCAGCCGCGGUAAUACGGGAAGGGCAAGCAUUAUCCGGCAUGACUGGGCGUAAAGAGUCCGUAGACUGUAAAGUAAGUUCUUUGUUAAAUUUUAAGACUCAAUCUUAACACAGUAAUUAAUACUACUUUACUACGAGUUUAAUACAGAAAAGUAGAAUUUUAUACGAUAAAGGUGAAAUUUGUAGAUAUAUAAAGGAAUGCCAACAGCGAAGGCAAUUUUUUGGUAUAAACUGACGUUGAGGGACGAAAGCGUGGGUAGCAAACGGGAUAGAGACCCCGGUAGUCCAUGCCGUAAAUUCUGAGUGCUGUAAUUUAAUUGUAAUAUUGGAAAUAUUAUUUAGAUUUUCAAGCUAACGCAAUAAGCACUCCGCCUGAAGAGUACGAUCGCAAGAUUGAAACUCAAAGGAAUUGACGGGGGUCUAACACUAGUGGUGGAGCAUGUGGUUUAAUGCGAUAAUCCGCGCAAAACCUUACCAAUUCUUGACAUAGUU